rnacentral:misc_RNA from 1 species
UCCGGUUUGUCACCGGCAGUCUCCCAUGAGUCCCCGCCAUUACGCGCUGGCAACAUGGAACGAGGGUUGCGCUCGUUGCGGGACUUAACCCAACAUCCCACGACACGAGCUGACGACAACCAUGCACCACCUGUGAACCGGCCCCGAAGGGAAGGACUGUUUCCAGCCCGAUCCGGCCCAUGUCAAGCCUUGGUAAGGUUCUUCGCGUUGCAUCGAAUUAAUCCGCAUGCUCCGCCGCUUGUGCGGGCCCCCGUCAAUUCCUUUGAGUUUUAGCCUUGCGGCCGUACUCCCCAGGCGGGACACUUAAUGCGUUAGCUUCGGCACGGAGGGAGUCGACACCCCCCACACCUAGUGUCCAUCGUUUACGGCGUGGACUAC